AUUACCAAAUUCUUCAAGGACUUCAAAUAGUUACAGCUAUUCUAUAUGGGGCUUGUGCUUAUUUAAUUGUCUUUGCUAAGUCAAUCUUAUGGCAAUAGGAGUUAGUCUAGUGUUUCGUUUCAACUGCGUGAUGUAAUCUAUUAUUCUUUUCACUGGGGACUUCUCUGUUGAGCUAAUACAAAGACUGUUUUGAGUAACUCUGAAGUGGCAAAUGCCUGCAGAUAAAGCUUUAACAGUUCACAUGCAACCAUAAAUGGGAACCUAGUAAAGUGUUAGCAAUAGUUCUCAAACAAUUAUAUGUAGCAAAUCAUGUAGUUCUGCUUUUCAAGAUAAAUAAAUGAAACAAAGCGGGGAGGACUGGGAAGACAAGAUUGAGAGCAAGUGAGAUGAAGAUCCUAUUUUGUGUGUCAUGAGUAAUACAAUGCUCAUCUGUCCUAAAUGUCUUAACCUAUGGUAUUUCAAUUUUCUGGGGAAAAACAUUCUAACAAAAUUUCCCAUUCAUAGUUCUAUAUCUACUGCAUUAAUAUGCUUACUGACGGUUUAGGGAUGAUGGUUUUGACAGGGUUAAUGCAAAUCUUGCUUCCAUCCUCGUUUCUAGAUGGAUCCUGUUGCAUCACCUCACUUAAAAAUACCUAACAGCAGAACUUCAGGCUGAAGGUUAAGGUCCUUAAUAUUGCGCGCCACCCCCUCUCCCCCCCCAAAAAAAAAGCUGUUCUGAAGAGCCAAAUUAUUAAUAAUGAUUUCAACAGAAACGCCACUCAGAAUGUGGUCAGAGAAAAUGCUUAUUAAAAAAUUAAAAAGGUGGAUUUUCUUUAGAAGAAAAGGUAACCCAUUAAUAGUAGCUUUUAGUGGUAAAAUGAAAAGUGUUGGUAAUGCAGAUAUGUGGACCUUUUACUUCUCAAUGGUGAAGCCAUUACUGGAGGAUGCAACUCAUUCCAAAGCAGACCAGUAACAAUUAGUACUGUGCAUGCUCAAGCUAUCACAAGGUAUUUUAUGCCUAUCACUUAUCUUAUUAGUUUCUUUCUCAUUUUGAAUGCAUUAGUUGCUGUGGAAACCACAGAACUAGCAGAAGCUAGAAGGGGGGAUCAUGACUUCAGAAAUAAGCUGAUUUCUUAUGAUUCAUUUGCUACCAGUCCAGAAUCAAAUGAUGCACAGCAUCCAGAAAAGGUACCUGUGGAAGUGAGAACAGUAUUUGCCCUGUCCUUGCACAUUCCCUUCUCUUCUACUUAUGUCCUAAUUUUAGCGAGACCUGUUGUAGCGGUGGCCAAGUAAUUUCUGUCUGUCAGUGUUUUAUGCAGCUGAAUCUCAAAAUCUGUUUUUCUUGUCGUUGGGUUUUCUUUUGUUUUCUUUAAAUAUCUAAUGUGUUUAAAAAAAAGAAUUGAUAUUUUGCUGAAAUGACCAAUGUAUUAGAAAGCAAAAUCCAGCAAGGUGUAGCAAACUUAUCACUUCAGCUGGGGGACGUCAAAUUGAUAAGAUUUAGCCAAGACUUUCUUAUGAAGUAUUGAUAUUUUUGGUGAAGGAGAAGGGGCUGGGAGCCAUUAAGCAAGGUGGCAAGGGUAACACCACGAAGUGGGAUGAACACCAAAGUACUUUUUAUCAAAACUUGGAUUGUGCUUUUGAUAUAUUGAAUUAAACUCUGUUACAUGAAUACUCUGGGCAUAAAUCAACCCAGUGGCUUUGUGUUCAAUGUAAUUGCAUAAACUUAUUGCUUUAGACAUAAAGUUAUUGCUUUAGAACAUUCUCAUAUUGCUUACAUACCUACAGAUGAAAUUGGUUAUUAGAUUUGUGUCCCUUCCGGGGUUAUCAGAAUCAGAUUUGCGAUUAAUAUUUAUCUACUUUAUUAUUGGAAAAAGUAUUCAUGUCUAGCAGCUGUAUUGAAAAGAGAUUCCUUUAAUUUCUAACCAUUAUCUGAGAGCCAAAGAAUUAACCUGGAUCUAUGCACAUCCUAUGAUAGAUGCAUAGUGAGUCUCUUUGCUUAAUAUGAAUGUUGAUACUUCCAUCACUGUAAAAUAGAGUGACUGUAUAAUAAGUUCUUACAUGAUUUUAAGGGGUAGAGAUGACCAUUCAUCACUUUACUCCUGUCAUUAUCACAGCUUCACUUAUUAAAAAGUUCUGUGCAAUAUUGCCUGUAUUUUUAGCUGGUAUUGUGUUGUACGUGUGUCCAGGCAUGGCAUUUAUUCCACUGUAUCUGUGAACUUCUGUUUAGUUUCACUUACAGCAUGUCAUCUUGUAUUCUACUACUGAAGUUGACUAGUGAUGCCCUUUGUGGAAGGAACCGUACUUUCUCUGCACACUACCAUGUACUGUCACAUACUGAUCUCUAUUUUAAGAACUAACUUGCUAUUUCAGAUUAGCUUUGACUUGUUAAAGUCAACAACAGAGUACGUCAAGUGGUGCUGGUGUGCACAAGAACAAGAUGAAAUUAAAGGCAUUUGGAAGUUAAUUUAAUAAGCAAUAUUUUUUUCCAUUACUGAGAUUACUUAGCUUAAAUCUUAAGAGAACAUACAGUUCAUUCUUAGCUCUUAAAUGUGCUUACCUACCCACGAGUUUGAAAUCAAGAUUCUUUUUUGUCAAGUACCUCUGAUGUAUUCUUACCGAAUUUGUCAUUGGUGCCUAGAAAAAAGAGAUGACAAAAUAGUGAGUAGCAAAUUUGCACUUAAUGUCACGGGUGGUUUGUCACAAUAAAAAAUAUGUUGCAUGCCUCUAUACCUUAGAGUAUAUGCCGGUGUGCAUACACCGUUAUUCCCCAAAACUGCUUUUAAAAGAUGCUACUACUGAAAGUCAGAUGGAAAAUCAAAUGGUUCAGACAACUACCAGCUUUUUAGAUCAUCUGAUGGAUCAUCUGCUCCAUUUACAUAUCAAGUUCCCAUUUAAUAAUAUAUUUGAGAUUACACUGAAAAUCUGAAAUGCAAGAAAAAUGAAUAUUUAAGCAAGCAUCAGUGAGUUCUUGAAUUGCACCAUACACAUUUAAUGGGUUCUUUAUUUUAACAUGUAAAAUUCCUCAGUAAGGAACUUCUGUCCUCACGAAAUGAUGGGUUUAGCCCCACUAGAUCCUUGCUCAUAUCUACCAGUUGUUUGAAGACUGAAGGGAGUACAACAAUGAAUCUUUGCUCCUUUUCCAUGUUGGUACACAAUUCCCCUUCGCCAUACUCUUAGGGAAGGGGGAAAGCGUCAACUCCUAUCCCUGCUCCCUGAGUAUAGUAACAAAAUAGGUUUCACUCUCCCAAGGCUAUCCAGUUCCCAAGUGUCCCAGCUGACAGGGGCUUUGAAACUGGAUGAAGAGUUUUGCUGUCUUGGGAUCUGACAUCUAGCUCACUGAUUUUGACAUUUAUUUUUUAAUACUUAAGUUAAUGUGGAAUAAAAUUUGCUUUUGGCUUUAUUUAGAUUUGUACUUCUGCUGCAGUUGUUACAGCUGCAUUGCUUUAACUGCAGAAUGGAAGGGGAGCACUUCUGAACACACUCCAGCAGAGAGAGCAUCGCUCGCUUUGAUGGAAGGAGGCACGAGGGUGCGGCAGGGAGAAUCUAAGGACACAGUUAUUCCAGCAGCCAUGGCUGCCUGGGCACAUUAUCAAGCUUGGAAAGCCUUUACAGCGUUUCAAGAGAGAUGCAAUAGCACUGAUUGUGAUGGGUGACUGAAUGCAUUUUCCUUCAAAGCUGCUCAGAAACAGCUGACAAGUGCAAUUUUAGGAAGGCUACUGGAGAAGCUUAUUGCAUGGGUUUUUCCUGCCACCUUCUGGAUAGGGAGAAGAAUAAUUUUGAGCAGAUAAAAUCAUGUGGGUUUUUCUGGACAAUAUGUAUGUCAACUUAUUAUUUGUAAAAUAUGUAUUGAGAUUGGCAAUGGAAGACAAAAGCAUGAAGAGCAAAAGCAGACAUCUUUCUAUGCUCCUGGAGAGAGGAUGACCCUGCUUCAAUUCCUUUUUUUCAUAAUUAUUUUGCAUUUUCUGUAAAUAACCUAUUUCCAUAGGUCCUUUCGUCAUGGAAGGGUUGUAUUUUAGCUUGUCUUUGUAAGUAGUAAGAUUGCAGAAAGAAUAAUGGCUUGGAAUAAGCAGCUAAUAAAGCUGAUAAUUCUUUGAAGUGCUCUCUAAAAUGUGUGCACCCUGAAUUUAACAGCAUCUUUAUUUUAAUAAAAGCAAGAGUGGAAUUUUUCAGAAGUACUCAUUCCUAAUCCAUACCCAUUGUUGUUAGUGGAUUCUUCUACUUCUGAACUUCAGUGAGAAUGUUUAAGCCACGGCCAUGUGUCUUGUAAUAACUUUCUUUCAAAUGUAUAAUGCUACAAUCAGAGCAGUUUACUGAAAAAUUGUAAAUGAGGAAAAGGGGCGAGUGCCGCUCAAUUCCUACACGAACAAUGCAUGUUUAAAUUAACCAUUAGUAUAAUGUAUGGAAAUCAUAUCAGGGCUUCAAGAAAGUAGACCCAAAGAUAUUGUGUAUAUAUACAUAAACAAAUGUGUGGGUAUAUAUGCAUACAAAUAAACCAAACAACAAAAAUACAUACGUACAUACCAAAACCAAGGAACCUAGAAUAGGCACUAAAUGGACAAAGUUUCAGAUGAUAUUAGACUAUUUUUAAUGUGGGAGACUAUAAAGCAGUGACUUGCACACCACCACACAGGAGAGCCUGUCUCAGAGCCAGAAGCAAAUUUCCAUUUCCAGAAUACAAACCAUAAGGCCACCUGGCUCCCCAUUUAUUGUUGUCCCCCUGCUGCAAACUAAAUAGCUUCUUGCAUCGCUGCUUGAAAUUACUUCUGUUAACAUAGAGGAAUGAGAUACCGUUUUCUUCCCCUCUCUUAAAUGAAGUCGUCUCUUUAGCAGCUGUCAUCUCAGUAAUGAGCAGAGCUACAAAUAAACGUCUUCAGCAGUCUGCAAGCAGAUUUAAGUCCAAUGCUUUAACCCAUGUAAAGCAACGAUAUGCCUUAAGCAGUUCAUGAGAGUGCUUCUAAAAUAUGUCAAAACGGGAGGGAGGAUGAUAUUAAUGUCACUUGUUUUUUUUCUUUUUCAUCAUGAUUGAAAUCACACGUGAAGCUGGCGACAUUGGAGCGUUAUCUGUUGUACAACUGAAGACAGCAUAGGGAAUAUUUAAGUGAAACUGUACUGAAAUAACUUCUCAUGUGUCUGAGCAUAGAUUUUUAGCAGCCUUUAUUGAAUGUCUUGAAGCCAGUGUCCCACUGCAGAUGGUACUCACUGGCCAAGGCAUUAGAUAAAAUGUUCCAAUAUAUACUUCCUUUUUAGUAAAUUGACUCUCUUUUAAAAAUAAAUAAAUAAAUAAAUACAAUUGUGUUUUGUCAUAACACGAUGUUUUGUGUUUC